UGGAAGGCCAAGACUGAUGCCAGCCA
rnacentral:piRNA from 1 species